rnacentral:rRNA from 1 species
UACGUAGGGUGCAAGCGUUGUCCGGAAUUAUUGGGCGUAAAGAGCUCGUAGGCGGUUUGUCGCGUCUGCCGUGAAAGUCCGGGGCUCAACUCCGGAUCUGCGGUGGGUACGGGCAGACUAGAGUGAUGUAGGGGAGACUGGAAUUCCACGUGUAGCGGUAGAAAUGCGUAGAGAUGUGGAGGAACACCGGUGGCGAAGGCGGGUCUCUGGGCAGUAACUGACGCUGAGGAGCGAAAGCGUGGGGAGCGAACAGG